AGUCAUUGCUUGUAGCUAAAGUAUCGGGGGUGGCAGAGUGGAGGAGGUGGCAUCUGAGCUGGCUCUAGACUCUGAAACAUGACCGCUCUGGAGUAGUUCCCCCAUCCACAAAUUUAUGCAGUCGAGUUUCCUCGAAUUUAGGGUCAAUACACACGGAGUGCAAUGGAUUAACCUCACUCUGGAGAAAUCACCUGCAUAAUCAUGGUAUCUCCCCUUCCAGGAUUUAUACAGAAGCAGUCUUCCAAAUUCUGAAACCUGAUGCCCAUCACAUACUUUGGGCUGAGAAAAGAAAAUCAAACAUUUGUUUGAUGUAGCCUCCCUCAGCCUUGAAGCAGGCUGAUCCAGACUUUGACCUUGCUGCCACUAAGAAGGAGAUUACCUAGGGUAGAGCCUUCUGACCUUGAUGGCUCUAUUUGCUCUUCUCCAAGACUCUGCUUUCCCACUGAAAGGUCCUUGAGAUGGUCCACAGACACACCCUGUAGAUCGGCUACUGACUGGUCUUCCCCCUUAUAAGCACACUCUCUUAAUAAACUCGGGGGCCUAGAACAGAAACGUUUCUUGGCCUCCAUUAUUUUUCUCG
rnacentral:lncRNA from 1 species